GACGUAGGGUGCAAGCGUUGUCCGGAUUUACUGGGCGUAAAGAGCGCGCAGGCGGUCGUUCAAGUCGCGUGUGAAAGCCCCCGGCUCAACUGGGGAGGGUCACGCGAUACUGAUCGACUCGAAGGCAGGAGAGGGAAGUGGAAUUCCCGGUGUAGUGGUGAAAUGCGUAGAUAUCGGGAGGAACACCAGUGGCGAAGGCGACUUCCUGGCCUGUUCUUGACGCUGAGGCGCGAAAGCUAGGGGAGCAAACGGG
rnacentral:rRNA from 1 species